GGAGCGAGUGGUGACGAAUGUUUCCGUGAAAGUUCAUUCGGCUGGUUUCGGUUAGUCCAAGCGCAUCAGCGGGCAAGUUCAAGGCUGGUUGUCGCGACACACAGAAUAUCAAUCUGCUUGGAAGCCAACAAGUCCUGGUUUGAGCGCUAUGGAAGGAGAACAAGCUUUCUGUGCCACAUCCUGCGUUACUUCCUGCUGCUCAACUGGAAGCACAAUUUGCUCAUCACUGAAAAUGAGUUCUGUGCACUGUUCGUCGUGGUGUUUGGCUCCAAAGACGAGAGAUGGCACCAGGGACUUCGUAUAAAACCUUCCCCGCGAUGUGUCGUUUGUUUCACAGAAAAUCAAUGUCAUCAUAGUCUAGAUACAAUACCUGUUACAAGAAUAAAUACUCAUGGAAAAGAAAUAAAAUAAUUAUGUUAAAAUUAUUUAUGAAAAAUAAUAUUUAAAAAUUUAAACGUCAAACUCUGUUUAAUAAAGAUAUGUGGCCAUUCU